UCUUUCCCUCUGCUUGGUUAUGCAAUGCACGGCUCUCCCACGGCACGUCUUGCACAGGGGACCCACCACAACACAGCUGCCACCAGCUGCAGACCCACACAGCAACAGCUACGCAGCAGCACUCCGGCUUUCCAGCUCUCCGGUUGUUCACAAACAGCUCUGGGAUUUUACUGGCUCUUUGGAAUAACACUUGCUGUGGCGUGGGCUGUCUGUAGUAUCAGUCGAUUGUUCUACAGCGGACUGGAGGUGCGGUAGUAGUUGCCGCAAGCACUAGCUGCUCCAGAGUAACCAUGCGCGGCUGUAGCUCCGGGUUUCAGCGGCAGGCGAGAGAGAGGCGCCUCUGAAAGGCACUAAUUGCUCUGCUCCAGAAAGAGGGAAGCAAGGAAGGACGGAAGGAGAGAAGGGGUGGGGGCGUGUACAUUUGUCACAGAGACUGGGGCUCUCUCUUUGAGCUGCUAAGAGGGUCAAAGAGCCAACAAGAGCCGAGGAGGAAGAGGGGGGCUGUGGUGGAAUUGGAGAGUGGGGCAGUAGGAUGGGGAGAGUAGUGGGGAGGGGGAGCGUAAGAAGCUUUGGUUGUGGAGACCCGAGGAAUAAAAUAACAAAAGCAAAAAGGAGACAAUACCGCAACCAAAACCAAGGCAGUAUUUAACCAAGGGGGUGGCGCAGAGGACUGGAGAAUUCAUCCGGGCAAGAAGGGGGUGGUUUUCACAGAGAGCAGUGUCUGCGUACAGUGCCGCACACCAAGACGCAGUUUGGAGCCCGGAUCUCCUUUUCUUUUCCUUACCACAUAUUCCUCUUUCUGUGACGCUGGGAGCGUGGGUACCCAGCCAGCUUCCCCCUGUCCCCCCCCAAAUGCAGGCUCCUGUGUGUGGCCAUGCUUCUCCGCUGAGGACCCAAAAGCAUGCUGGAUGUCACCCAGCUCCUCACACGCCUUAGGGUGGGCUGCCUCUGUCUCUCUCUCCCCCUCUGCAGAUAAGUGCCAGCAGCACCCUUGCCAGGUUGGGCGAGCGUCAUGGCCAUGGGCCCAACGGUCAUCACUAUUGAGGAGGUGCGGGCGCUAGAGAGCAAGGAGGAGCAGGAGGAGUCCAUCUUGGCGCUGCUGGGAAUCGUUGGCACCUUCCUUAACCUCUUCGUCAUUGUCUUUGUUUACAUCUACACCGUUGUGUGAGCCAAGCCAGAGUGGGAGUGAUCCCCCAAACGUCAAGGCACAAACCAAGCUUCCAUCUAACCCCAACAAACGUAUACUGGAUUUUACAUGCCAAGCUCCUACUCCCUCUAACUAGGUAUUAGUUAUAAAAAAGGUGCAAAACGACAAGAUAUUAAAAUAGGAGGGGGGAGCAGUUUCCUCACACAGAGAUUGAGGGUGGACAGUUCCGUGGGAGAUGGCGUCUCACAGCCAUGAACCAGAGAGAUAAUAGUGAGCUGGUGGACACAUCAGGACCAUGGCUGUGCUGGAUCCAGGAGGGGGCGAUAGACAGGGUUGGGCUGCAGGCCAGCACAGCCUGGGUGAACUAACUUCACCUUGGACUCAAUAGAAUGAGGGAAACGGACAGUGUUACCGACCAAUCUCCAUUGUCAAGUGGAUUUAAAAAAAAACAGACAAAGGGAUAUUGACGUCACUGGUCCGGAUGGUUUCAGGGGCAUGGCGUGGUGCUGUAAUGUACUGUGCUGCUUGCCGUCAGAUAGGCUACACACACCAAAGUGUUAGUCACCGCUUCUCAUGAUAUGAGACAUCACAACAGAGAGAUACACCAUCUCUCUGUCUAUUUCGUCUCCACAAGAACUGAUCUGCAAAGAGAGCAGAAGGAGUGGAAAUGACAAUUACACAUUUAAAUUCAAAUCGACCACCUGGAGAUCUGCAAUAAAAAGGCAAGUGGGAGAGAGAGAUAUUUUUUACAAAAAGGAGAGUCUGCUGUGGUGAUUAAAUCAUCCGCAGGGGUGGAAAGUAACUUGUGGGCACUGGCAAAAAGCUCCAUUCCGCAAUUACUAAUACAUAAGGUCAGACUUAAUCUUCUCUCUCUUUCUGCAUCUCUUUCCACGUUCUGUUCGGUUAUUUUGAUGUAAGGCUAUUUGUUCAUGUUGAUUUCAGGGUAGUGUCAGCGAUUCAGUUUCUGUAUAAAAAUCAAAGCUUUUAUAAACACAUGAAUAAACUAAACUCUAGAUGUACUGUGCAAUAGGGAACAUUUUUACAAUAAAAUGAGAAUAUAU